GGAGUGAGCUGUCCUACCGCUGCGGUAUUUUUAUCGAAGAGGAAAGUCCGGGCAGCACAGAGUACCGUACUUCCUAACGGGAAGGCAACAGAUUGGAAACGGCCUGUUGACAGCCAGUGCCACAGAAAUGAUACCGCCUUGGCAUGUUUUUUAUAUACCGAGGUAAGGGUGAAACGGUGGAGUAAGAGCCCACCGCCCGGCUGGUGACAGACGGGGCAGGGUAAACCUUACGGGCUGAAAGAUCAAAUAGGUGUUAGUUAGUGAGGCUACUCGCUUCCGUUUUUCGAAACGCUGACACGGGUAGAUCGUUAGAGAUUCAGGGUGACCUGAAUUCUGGAUAAAUGGUAGGAGUCUUUUGGGUUGUCAAACGCUUAAAAGGAACAGAAUCCGGCUUAUAGGCUUACCCUUUUU
rnacentral:RNase_P_RNA from 1 species